UACAGAGGUCUCAAGCGUUGUUCGGAUUCAUUGGGCGUAAAGGGCGCGUAGGCGGUUUGCUAAGUUGGAUGUGAAAACUCUGGGCUUAACCCAGAGCCUGCAUCCAAAACUGGCAAACUUGAGUACUGGAGGGGAAAGCGGAAUUCCUGGUGUAGCGGUGAAAUGCGUAGAUAUCAGGAGGAACACCGGUGGCGAAGGCGGCUUUCUGGACAGUAACUGACGCUGGAGGCGCGAAAGCUAGGGGAGCAAACAGG
rnacentral:rRNA from 1 species